ACCAUGUUGGGGUAGCACUGUGUUAGCAAAACGAAUGUUGUAGUUAUCGGUGGCUGCCACUGCUGAGAUCAGAAUCUACACAGAUUCUCAUCAAUGGCUUCUAUGCCCACAGCUCCUCCACCCUUUAUCAUCAAGCUCCACCCACGGUCUAACUUCCAGUAACAGCAGGUUCUGCUGACACACUAACCUUGCUGCUGUUUCGGGAGGAAAAAGGAAGUGGAGAAAGGAAGCGCAGAUGCAUAGCCAGAAGCCACAGACCUCCAAAUUUCAUUUGGCCUUUUCAAUUGCUCAAGAGCAACACUUCUGACCUCAACCUGACACAAGCAGGGGGGAUAAGAGCGGAGACUGUGAGCCACGCCUUCCCAUCCAAGAUCAGUGUCUGACUUCACAAAUAUUCUUCUGGAAGAAUCAUUAAGCAUUCCCAUAAUCACUUUCUGAAACCUUGUGGAAAACGCUCACAGAAAGACUGAACCUGUUUCAGCUGCAAAGGAUGGGCCGACAUCAUGUUAGACUUUAUGGAAUAAAAAUGAGAAGUCGAUCAAGUUCAAAAGUGUGUGAAACACCUUUGGCAGCAAAGUGCAGGUUUAAUGCAGGACAAUGUUGUGUAAACCAGGGGAUUUAUAUGUUGCCUAUGUGUUGCUCUAUUUGAACUGAGUUUCUUAAUGCCUACUACAGAGUUAGCAAAGACCUUCAUAUAGAG